GCGCCCAUAGCUCAGCGAAUAGAGCGCCCCGCUACGGACGGGGAGGUCGCGGGUUUAAAUCCUGCUGGGCGCUCCA
rnacentral:tRNA from 1 species